AAGAGAGCAGUGAUUAUAAACCAUAAGAUUAAAAUUCUGAUUUGCUUAUUUUUUAUGGGCAUGAUAGACUCAUUAUACACCCAUAGAAUAUGAGCUCUC
rfam:Arabis alpina cultivar Pajares Aa.chr8_contig_6306, whole genome shotgun sequence.